CGUACACUCCUGCGGGAGGCAGCAGUGGGGAAUAUUAGACAAUGGGCGCAAGCCUGAUCCAGCCAUGCCGCGUGAGUGAUGAAGGCCCUAGGGUUGUAAAGCUCUUUCACCGGUGAAGAUAAUGACGGUAACCGGAGACGAAGCCCCGGCUAACUUCGUGCCAGCAGCCGCGGUAAUACGAAGGGGGCUAGCGUUGUUCGGAUUUACUGGGCGUAAAGCGCACGUAGGCGGACUAUUAAGUCAGGGGUGAAAUCCCGGGGCUCAACCCCGGAACUGCCUUUGAUACUGGUAGUCUUGAGUUCGAGAGAGGUGAGUGGAAUUCCGAGUGUAGAGGUGAAAUUCGUAGAUAUUCGGAGGAACACCAGUGGCGAAGGCGGCUCACUGGCUCGAUACUGACGCUGAGGUGCGAAAGCGUGGGGAGCAAACAGGAUUAGAAACCCCUGUAGUCCCAUGA
rnacentral:rRNA from 1 species